CAGUUUGAUGCGCAAAGUAGUCCACUGUAAGUAAUAUUAUUUGACAAAUGUCCACAGAAAUUAAUAAUUUUCUAAUAUUAAAGACGAAUAUCUGAAUAGGAUUCAUUAUUUGAUAAGAAAUUAUAAUCAUCGACAUGUUUUUUUAAAAAUCGUACACGUGCUGACACCUAAGUUGUCUCCCGUUGUUUAUUAGAGUUACCUUUCGUCCGGCGCAGUAAUACAUUUGCAGUGAAUCGCCGAGAAGUCGUGGGAAAAUUAAAAACCAUGUAAACAAACUAAAAUUAACCACCUUUUCAAGAUGAAUUUCAAGUGAUCGACAUUAUACAUUUAACCCGCCUGACCUGUGUAGCAUCUUAGAUAUCUGUUCUAAGGUAUUCAUUGUGUAGAAUGUCAUGUUAUGCCCUUGCAAUGCUAAUCCCACUCUGUUUUUUUUGUUUACAUUUUUUAUCAAUGAGAAAUAUGGCGUCCAUCCCGAGAUGAACAGACGUGGCGUUAAAUUUUUACAUGUUUAAGCAAACCUGGUGUGUUAGAAAGAAAAUCUCAUCCCUUCAACAUUAUUUGGAAUACUGUUAUUGUAAAAAACCUGUAUUUUCCUUAUACAAAAGCUUAAUAUUUUGUGUUGAAUGUACUUUCACAAAGACCUCUGUUUUCCUAUUACAUUCAUAGUACCACAUCCUUAUCCACAAAAUACUGAAUAUUACAGGUGUCCAUCAGUAUUAUAUCAGUUUAGGAAUAUGUUUUUUAUUUUCCCACCAUCGAUUUCUUGAAUAUGCACCCCUUCCGCAUUGCUGUAUGAACUGUGAAUGUAGCAAUAUGCGUCCCCUUAAAUGCUUACCGUGCUCAAAUGUAGGUUUAUAUCAACAAAAGUUUUACCACUAUUACAAAACGCGGAUGACAGGUUAACAUAAUUUAAUUGAUAUCCUUUCAUGAUCCUUUAGGUGGUCGAUUUUAACUUUUGUUGAGUGUACACCAAUACUAUAAAAUACCUAAUUAACAACGGAAACGUGGCUUGCUCUAUGCACUAACAUAGAAUAUAUGCAUUUACAACAUUGCAUAACUUAUUUUUCAAGUCAAUGCAGUUACCAAGUGUAAACAGACGCUUCUGUGUAAUACAAUAUGCGCUUCGCCCCUAGCUCGCAGCAAACAGCUACAUGUGUAUACUUUUACCGUGAACCAUCUCGAAAUUUUCAAAACUUCAGUAAACUUCUGUUAUACAAUAGGAUACACAGAUGAAACGAAGAGAAACCAGAAUAAAGUAAUGAGAAUGAAUCCUAGUAUGUUGAUCAGAUAACUGACUACUUUUAAGACACACCAUGUCGCAAAAGCAAUGUUUCUAAAUUCUUUAUUUCCGGCGAGAACCGUUCCCAAAAACAAGUAUUAAAGUUUCAGUUAAUUCUAAAUCUAUUUUUCACUACAGCGUAUAGAGCGUUGGUGGCUGUCAAACAGACAAGGUGGAUGUCAGUACUGGAUAGAUCUCUUUAAAGAUAUGGAAAACGCUGGACUUCUCUCAACAAGUGACGAACUACACAUAGAAUGCGUGCGUUUGCUUAUUGACAUAAUACAGAAAGAGCUUGACCGAGUGCGAAUGGAAUGGAAUGGAAGCAACAUACAAUACGGAGAAAUGGACCUGAAGACUCCCCAAGCGGGAAACCAGACCUCAUGUACUAUAUGCCCGAGUUGUUUGGUGGUGUUGAUUACAAGGUUACGUUGAACCAGAGAGACCUUGAUCAAGUGUCAUCAGAAUUCUGUUAUACGGGGCCUAUACGGUGCAUAAGCGAAACAGAAGCACAGUUUGAACGGGAAAUGAGACGAAAACAUUUGCGCAUGCCAGUUACAGCUGAUAAAGCAAUAGAAGUAUAUGGUGCCUUAAAUCCCGCUGUUCAGAACCAAACAACAGAACAUCAUUGUACUACAUAAUCACCCAGCAUACACUCUAAGCCUAAUACAAUGACAUUUGCUUAAAUAUGGCAAAGAAGUUAAUAUUAGCAAACAAGCUACUUUCAAAAGCAAUAAAACGUUUGUUUGUUAUUUCGUUUGGCUGUCUGUGUCAUCUGUACAGUUAUAUGCUGCCAUACAAGGCUGGUAAAUUUGUUUUUGUUGUAUUAUAUCUUCGAAUGAAUGAUCUCGCAAUAAACAUGUACAUAAAUACAGACAAAUCCAUUCCACUCCGUUUCCUCAAUGAUGACAAAAUCGUGUUGGUCUAACGUUUCUUACCCGAGAAUCUUUAUGAAGUUCUAUUUAAAAAUUCCAAACCACUUCCUAGAUAUGGCUUCGGACUGAUGGAUGGAUGGACAACCCAAAAACUAUACCCCUCCACCUUUGCUGGGGGAUAAUCCACGAAUUCG